AGAGUUUGAUCCUGGCUCAGGAUGAACGCUAGCGGGAGGCUUAACACAUGCAAGUCGAGGGGUAACAUGAUAGCUUGCUAUCGAUGACGACCGGCGCACGGGUGAGUAACGCGUAUGCAACCUACUUUAUACAGGGGGAUAGCCCAGGGAAACUUGGAUUAAUACCCCAUGGUAUUGUGAGAUCGCAUGAUUUUACAAUUAAAGUUCCAGCGGUAUAAGAUGGGCAUGCGUGACAUUAGAUUGUUGGUGAGGUAACGGCUCACCAAGUCAGCGAUGUCUAGGGGUUCUGAGAGGAUGAUCCCCCACACUGGUACUGAGACACGGACCAGACUCCUACGGGAGGCAGCAGUGAGGAAUAUUGGUCAAUGGGCGCAAGCCUGAACCAGCCAUCCCGCGUGAAGGAUGACUGCCCUAUGGGUUGUAAACUUCUUUUAUGUACCAAGAACGUGCUCUACGUGUAGGGUUUUGACGGUAGUACAUGAAUAAGCAUCGGCUAACUCCGUGCCAGCAGCCGCGGUAAUACGGAGGAUGCGAGCGUUAUCCGGAUUCAUUGGGUUUAAAGGGUGCGUAGGCGGGUUCUUAAGUCAGUGGUGAAAUCCUGCGGCUCAACCGUAGAACUGCCAUUGAUACUGAGAACCUUGAAUAUAGUUGAGGUAGGCGGAAUGAGUAGUGUAGCGGUGAAAUGCUUAGAUAUUACUCAGAACACCAAUUGCGAAGGCAGCUUACUAAACUAUUAUUGACGCUGAUGCACGAAAGCGUGGGGAGCGAACAGGAUUAGAUACCCUGGUAGUCCACGCCGUAAACGAUGUUCACUCGCUGCAUGCGAUACACAGUAUGUGGCCAAGCGAAAGUAUUAAGUGAACCACCUGGGGAGUACGUCGGCAACGGUGAAACUCAAAGGAAUUGACGGGGGCCCGCACAAGCGGAGGAACAUGUGGUUUAAUUCGAUGAUACGCGAGGAACCUUACCUGGGCUUAAAUGUAGGUUGCAUGUAGUGGAAACACUCUUCCCUUCGGGGCUACCUACAAGGUGCUGCAUGGUUGUCGUCAGCUCGUGCCGUGAGGUGUCGGGUUAAGUCCCAUAACGAGCGCAACCCCUACCGUUAGUUGCCAUCAGGUUAUGCUGGGGACUCUAGCGGGACUGCCACCGUAAGGUGAGAGGAAGGUGGGGAUGACGUCAAAUCAGCACGGCCCUUAUGUCCAGGGCUACACACGUGUUACAAUGGUCGGUACAAAGGGCAGCUACACCGUAAGGUG
rnacentral:rRNA from 1 species